rnacentral:rRNA from 1 species
AUUGAACGCUGGCGGCAUGCCUUACACAUGCAAGUCGAACGGCAGCGGGGGAGAAGCUUGCUUUUCCUGCCGGCGAGUGGCGAACGGGUGAGUAAUACAUCGGAACGUGCCCUGUAGUGGGGGAUAACUAGUCGAAAGAUUAGCUAAUACCGCAUAAGACCUGAGGGUGAAAGUGGGGGACCGCAAGGCCUCAUGCUAUAGGAGCGGCCGAUGUCUGGUUAGCUAGUUGGUGGGGUAAAGGCCUACCAAGGCGACGAUCAGUAGCUGGUCUGAGAGGACGAUCAGCCACACUGGGGCGGAGACACGGCCCAGACGCCUACGGGAGGCAGCAGUGGGGAAUUUUGGACAAUGGGCGAAAGCCUGAUCCAGCAAUGCCGCGUGUGUGAAGAAGGCCUUCGGGUUGUAAAGCACUUUUGUCCGGAAAGAAAUGGCUCUGGUUAAUACCUGGGGUCGAUGACGGUACCGGAAGAAUAAGGACCGGCUAACUACGUGCCAGCCGCCGCGGUAA